rnacentral:rRNA from 1 species
AUUGAACGCUGGCGGCAGGCUUUACACAUGCAAGUCGGACGAGUGGCGGACGGGUGAGUAAUAUAUGGGAACGUACCGAGUAGAGGGGGAUAACCAAUCGAAAGGUUGGCUAAUACCGCAUACUAUUCGAUGGGCCAAUAUAGGAUUAGCUAGUUGGUGGGGUAAAGGCUCACCAAGGCGACGAUCACUAGCUGGUCUGAGAGGAUGAUCCGCCACACUGGGACUGAGACACGGCCCAGACUCCUACGGGAGGCAGCAGUGGGGAAUAUUGGACAAUGGGCGCAAGCCUGAUGCAGCCAUGCCGCGUGUAUGAAGAAGGCCUUCGGGUUGUAAAGGACUUUUGUCAGGGAAGCGGUACCUACAGAAGAAGCACCGGCUAACUACGUGCCAGCCGCCGCGGUAAUUC